GGUUGAUCCUGCCAGUAGUCAUAUGCUUGUCUCAAAGAUUAAGCCAUGCAUGUCUAAGUAUAAGCAAUUUAUACAGUGAAACUGCGAAUGGCUCAUUAAAUCAGUUAUCGUUUAUUUGAUAGUUCCUUUACUACAUGGAUAACCGUGGUAAUUCUAGAGCUAAUACAUGCGUAAAGUCCCGACUUCUGGAAGGGAUGUAUUUAUUAGAUAAAAAAUCAAUGUCUUCGGACUCAAUGAUGAUUCAUAAUAACUUUUCGAAGCUCAUGGCUUUUUGCUGGAGCUGGUUCAUUCAA
rnacentral:rRNA from 1 species